GGGCAUGUGGCUUAGUGGUAGAGUGCUUGCCUAGCAUGCAUGUAUGCAUGGGUUCAAUUCCCAGUACCA
rnacentral:tRNA from 1 species